UGGGGAAUAUUGCACAAUGGGCGCAAGCCUGAUGCAGCCAUGCCGCGUGUAUGAAGAAGGCCUUCGGGUUGUAAAGUACUUUCAGCGGGGAGGAAGGCGACAAGGUUAAUAACCUUGUCGAUUGACGUUACCCGCAGAAGAAGCACCGGCUAACUCCGUGCCAGCAGCCGCGGUAAUACGGAGGGUGCAAGCGUUAAUCGGAAUUACUGGGCGUAAAGCGCACGCAGGCGGUCUGUCAAGUCGGAUGUGAAAUCCCCGGGCUCAACCUGGGAACUGCAUUCGAAACUGGCAGGCUGGAGUCUUGUAGAGGGGGGUAGAAUUCCAGGUGUAGCGGUGAAAUUGCGUAGAGAUCUGGAGGAAUACCGGUGGCGAAGGCGGCCCCCUGGACAAAGACUGACGCUCAGGUGCGAAAGCGUGGGAGCAAAACA
rnacentral:rRNA from 1 species